ensembl:lncRNA
CGCGAGCCCGCGGUGACGUAGAUCUGGGCGCGGGGUGAGGCAGCCCUCGCCCACCGGGCUUCGGGCAGUGUUCCGCUGACCUCGUGACGAUCCGCGGUGGACAUGGGUUCCAUCCAGGACCCGGACUGCGCUCUCGGGGGAGGCCGCGCCUCAGUCCAGGCGUUACCUUCUGCCGUGGCAUUUCUCUCGGUGCCUAACGUUCGCUAACGUAACCGGCUGCUGCAGCUCGGGGCCCUCUCCAACUUAGGGCAUUUGCAACAGAAACUACUCCGGACGAGCGCCAAGGGAGGGGCUUGUGCCUGCAAAGCUCUACGCUCAGCCAGGGGCCAUUCUGCAUGUGUGCAAUAACCUGGGGACUCAGAGAUUACAACUCUGUGUUUAGAUUAUGGAGGAAGAGAAAACAGCCCAUCAGCAUGAGUGGUUCAGUAUGGAAUUCAGCAUAUGGUGAUCCCGUGCCCUGAUGGGAGGUGAAGUUGUGAUUAUAUUCUAAAUAGUCCUUACAAAAUGGUUUCAGCCUGCUGGAAUCUGAACCUAACCAGCAGAGUAUUUUUCAUCUUGGUGUUGAAAAUGAUUUCAAUUGUUUCUUAAAUUUUAAUUCUCUGGAAGGUGAUGAAUACUGUAGUAGUGAAAUAGACACUAUACAUUUCUCCUAAACACACACAGACACACACACACACACCAUUAUCUCUAAUGUGAUCCUUGCCCAGGUUCUCCCAGCUUCUCACUGAGCUGCUUCCUCUGGGUCCAUCUUUUGUGUAACUUUAAGAAUUUGGGGUCAGUCUGUGUGGGCUUAGUUGGUCAUGGUAUUUGCAUGUUGUUUGAAAGACUUUUGUGACGAUUUCUUCAUCUUUCCAUGGUAUCUGAGCCUGAAGGCACCUUUUUAAGGUACCUACCUGAAUUUUUCAAUAGUUUGAUAAUCAGCCAGUCAUCUCUUCCAGAUCUGUGCAAAAUGGACCCAGAUGCACGUACAGAGAAAGCCUUCCUUAUCUUCCCCCAUGCCAGAAACCCUAGCCUUCCCAGGGAAUCGGCUGUUUAAACAAUCUGUCCUGGUUUCCUGCUCAGAGGAAAACUCCACGAUGACCCCCUAACCCUAUUCUCAUUGCAACAUGGGUUCUCUUUGACUUUGGGCACCUAUUUUGGUUAACGACACAGAUGUCAUUAAUAACUUUCAGUCACAGUGUUUGUGCAGAUCCUCAGUGGAGGCCAAAGCAUCGUGGCAAAUACACUCUCAGUCACCAAGGAUUCACAGGCAUGCUGUCUCACAGUCUGCAGUUUGGGAUGACUCCAUCAGGAAUUCCCAGCAGGUGGAGGGCCCGCAGAACUGCUCCUCAUUUCAACUUUAAUCGAAGGGUCUCGGCAACAGCUGGCUGCAGCAGAGCUGGUUCAGAAUUCCCCAGAUGUGGUUUGUGACAGCAUGUCUUCAUGGAAGGAGAGGAAGUAGGCCACAGAGCAGUCUUCACUGAAGGAAAGACAAGUUCAGCGAGGACCCCUUCUUGGGAAAAAUCCUCGGUACCUCUUGUUAUAAUCCCCACAGUAUGUUAAUGACUUAACAGAUAGGUUGUUAUUAACACCAGAUGUUCGUACAGCAGCAAAACCAUCGACUUUCUCUGCCCCCGAGUCUCGUUAUGUGUCCCCAUGCAUCACUGAUUCCAUGUGCACGUCAAUGCAAACUUUCCUGAGAGAAGCGAAAAUAAAAUACGGGAAGCUGCGACAUCUCUUUGGUGGGUUGUCAUAGGCACUUGUAAAGAGACCGAGGUGAAAACAAAUGCUCAGAAACCUUUGCCUGAGGUUUCAUCGGGCACCUUACAGAGUACAGUUUGAAGGAAAGCAGAAUUCGGCAUUUACGUGGUCGAUGGUAUUAGAAUCAGCACAGUAAGAAAAGGAGCUGUCAGGCUAUGGAUGAGUCAAUGUCAUAAUUAACGAGUCAAGACAUUUUGUUGAUGAGAGCUGGGUAUAAUUUUUUUUAGUGGCUUUUUAUUACAUAAAAUCGACAUACAGUUUUGCUAUGUCUAUUUUUAGGUGUUCGAUUCAAAGGCAUUAAGUACAUUCACAGUGUUGAACAACCGUCAUCACACCACCAUCCAUCUCCAGAACAUGCUUUAUCUUUUAAAACAAACUCUGUCCCCGUCAGCCACUCCCCACUCCCCUCCCUGCAGCCCGGGGCCGGCACCCUUCUACUUUCUGUGUCUGUGAAUUCGACUCCUCCAGGGAACCGUCUGUCAGUGGAUCCCAUGCCAUCUGCCCUUCCGUGUCAGGCUCAGCUCCUUGAGCAUGGCACCCUCAAGGUCCAUCCAUGCAGUAGCACGCAACUAGGUGCAAUUCCGCCUUCUCUGUAACAACUGUAGUGUUUAUACAUGCAGGUGGGCAAGAGCUUGGCCAAAUAAACUGAUUAACCAAGUGACCAUAAUCUCAACAAAAACCAUUCUCGAAAAUGUAUCUUCUCUUCUUCUGGCUGUCUUUGCUUGGCUUUGCCUCCUUAGAAGUUUCAAGAGAAAUACGAAAGGAAGCUGCAUCUUCUUACCAAACGCAAACCCAUGCAGCGGAAACUACACAAAGCAAACCUCAGGCUAAGUUGAAGUUAACUACUUGAUGGUUAGUAUUUUCAUGGUUGACUGAUGACUUAUAACCAGGCUAUAUCCCCCUUAGAAUGGAGGAAGCAUAUUAAAAAUCAGAAAAUUAAACAUUAAAACCAAUAAAAACGAACAGUGAAGUUGAUAUACCAGGCACCUGAGAUGUGUUCAGGAAGGCAGCCAGGCUUCUGGCUUGAAGGAAAAGCACUGGUUAAGAGGGUCUGUCUUUCUGGGGUUGGAACCAGGGCUCCUGUGUGUCUUGGGGGCCUUGGGGCCCGGCUGUGAGCCAAUAUUCAGUUCUAGGAGGUGUUUUGGUAUGCCCCCCAAUAGAUGGAGAAUCCAUGGCAUUCAUUUUAACCUGGGGGCCAAGAUGACAUUUUUGAGGGAGACAAGUGGUUGAAUCUUAUUGAAUCACUAACUUGUACUCACUGAGCCACCAAAAAGCUUUUGCUCUUCACAGCAGCAUCCUGGUGAUCGGGUCGAGUGGGGACUUGGGGGAGUCGUGUCAAAUCGCUGAGACAGCUUAUACAAUGAAGCAUUUUAAAAAUAUUUCAGAGCCCUACGAGGUAGGCGCCACUAUCGUCCCAUUUCACGGAUACCCAGCUGGGAAGGCUGACGAGCCCAGGGAGAGCAUCACUAACCCACCCACCAACCAGAGCACAUGGCCUCGGCGACUUCACAGAGGAUUCUAAGGUGCAGCUUCCUAGACCCAACACAAAGAGGGAAUACUGUUCUUCAGAAGAUUUUCAUGAUCUAAAAAAUGAGAAGUCCAUUUUUCCACCCAAAAAAAAACGUUAUAUCUAAGUGAAAUUUCUCCUACACUCUCUCAAAAAGAAGAGAUUUCAGUCUGUAAUGGACUGCAUUCCCAACAAUAGUUUUACCAAACCAAAAAAAAUAUCCGUACAGUGUUCCUCACUAUAUUUUGGAGGUGAGACUAUCAACCUAUAAUUUAGGAAGAAUUUACGUGAAUUACCUGAUAUACAAAGUGGGAAUUCCACUUCAAGUUAUUAGGAACAAGAAAAAUGUGCAAUCACUUGAAAUUGUUUUAGUAGUGUGUUCACGUGGACAAAUUCUUUUCUGAAUAUGCAUGUUCUUCCU